AACGAACGCUGGCGGCAGGCUUAACACAUGCAAGUCGAACGCAUCCUUCGGGGUGAGUGGCAGACGGGUGAGUAACACGUGGGAACGUACCUUUCGGUUCGGGAUAACCCAGGGAAACUUGGGCUAAUACCGGAUACGUCCUUUGGGAGAAAGAUUUAUUGCCGAAAGAUCGGCCCGCGUCUNAUUAGCUAGUUGGUGAGGUAAUGGCUCACCAAGGCGACGAUCAGUAGCUGGUCUGAGAGGAUGAUCAGCCACACUGGGACUGAGAC
rnacentral:rRNA from 1 species